UGUCUUCUUAAAAAUUCAUAUAUACUUUUAUAUCCCAUAUAUUUUGUUAUUAAAUAUAUCUCCAUAGAGAAUAAGUGGGCAGAAUUUGAUCUUUUUAAUAUUCAGCCUUAUGUGGUUUAUAUCCUGAUUUUUAAAAUUAGAAAUUUUAAAACUUAUAUAAUCUAUAGGACUAAAAUGAUUGACUUAUUUUUAUGAUGUGUAUUUGUACAGAUACGGGACUACAUUACACAGAAACAGAAUUGAUUACUGGAAGCAAAAGCUUCCUGUGCACCACAGGGGAACAGUUCUUUCCACCAGGAAGGAUAAAUCUGAUUUACUCCCUGGACUCCCUGGCUGGUUCCUGACACUCGUGCCUGGUGGUGUUCUGCACAUAGAAGGCCUCCGGUAAAUACUGGCUGAAUGGCUCAGGCUGUCUCUUUGCAGAGGUCUCUUAUACCAGAAGCAAGCAGAACCACAUGCAGCUACCCAGCCAGCCUGCUGUACAACACCAGCGCACGCCCAGUGCCUGCCAUUCUCUAGGCACACUGCCGUGCACUUGAAAUGCUAAAGGGUCACUGAUCAUUAGAAGAGCUCUGUCAGCUCCAGGCCCAGAAAAGCAUCAAAACCAGACAAAUGAAGC